rnacentral:rRNA from 1 species
CCUACGGGAGGCUGCAGUGGGGAAUAUUGGACAAUGGGGGAAACCCUGAUCCAGCCAUGCCGCGUGUGUGAAGAAGGCCCUCGGGUUGUAAAGCACUUUCAGUGAGGAAGAACGCCUGGUGGUUAAUACCCAUCAGGAAAGACAUCACUCACAGAAGAAGCACCGGCUAACUCCGUGCCAGCAGCCGCGGUAAUACGGAGGGUGCGAGCGUUAAUCGGAAUUACUGGGCGUAAAGCGCGCGUAGGUGGCUUGAUAAGCCGGUUGUGAAAGCCCCGGGCUCAACCUGGGAACGGCAUCCGGAACUGUCAAGCUAGAGUGCAGGAGAGGAAGGUAGAAUUCCCGGUGUAGCGGUGAAAUGCGUAGAGAUCGGGAGGAAUACCAGUGGCGAAGGCGGCCUUCUGGACUGACACUGACACUGAGGUGCGAAAGCGUGGGUAGCAAACAGGAUUAGAUACCCGAGUAGUC